rfam:Yersinia mollaretii ATCC 43969 contig01460, whole genome shotgun sequence.
AAUGAGCACUUAAGGGGAAGGUGAAAACCUUCGAUAAGGUUCGAGCCGAGCGUAGCGAGACAACGACGCAAAGCGUCGGCCCGAAGGGUGAGGAACGAAGUGACGAAUAAUCCUUCCCCCACCACCC